rnacentral:rRNA from 1 species
AUUGAACGCUGGCGGCAGGCCUAACACAUGCAAGUCGAACGAGUGGCGGACGGGUGAGGAAUGUCUGGGAAACUGCCCGAUGGAGGGGGGUAACUACUGGAAACGGUAGCUAAUACCGCAUACCAUCGGAUGUGCCCAGAUGGGAUUAGCGGGUAGGUGAGGUAACGGCUCACCUAGGCGACGAUCCAUAGCUGGUCUGAGAGGAUGACCAGCCACACUGGAACUGAGACACGUGCCAGACUCCUACGGGAGGCAGCAGUGGUGAAUAUGGCACAAUGGGCGCAAGUCGGAUGCAGCCAUGCCGCGUGGAUGAAGACGGCCUUCGGGUUGUAAAGUACUUUCAGCGGGGAGGCGUUACCCGCAGAAGAAGCACCGGCUAACUCCGGGCCAGCCGCCGCGGUAAUUC